UACGUAGGGUGCGAGCGUUGUCCGGAAUUAUUGGGCGUAAAGGGCUCGUAGGCGGUUUGUCGCGUCGGGAGUGAAAACCCAGGGCUUAACUCUGGGCUUGCUUUCGAUACGGGCAGACUAGAGGUAUGCAGGGGAGAACGGAAUUCCGUGGUGUAGCGGUGAAAUGCGGCAGGAUAUCAGGAGGAACACCGGUGGCGAAGGGCGG
rnacentral:rRNA from 1 species